GGUUUCAAUUUUAAAAUGUACAAUCUUUAACAGGAUUUAAAGCCAUAGUUAAUAUCCUUGUACAAAAAACUGCAUGUCAAGAUCCAAGAUCAACUCAAAUCAGGUAAGUACAAAAACCCAAAAGCCAAUUUAAAAGGCAGUAACUGGAUAACAGAAGUUUCAGAUCAAAGAAAACAGCAGAAAAAAACAAAACUAGAUACGCAUCCCAAGUUGCAACUCCAAUAUAUGUUAAAAUAAAGAAAGAUACAACAUUAACCAGAUAGUAAUCUGGACCACAGUAAUAAAAAAAAAAAAAAAACUUUCCACAAAGCAAAA